rnacentral:rRNA from 1 species
GUUUGAUCAUGGCUCAGGACGAACGCUGGCGGCGUGCCUAACACAUGCAAGUCGAACGGAGAAUUUUAUUUCGGUAGAAUUCUUAGUGGCGAACGGGUGAGUAACGCGUAGGCAACCUACCCUUUAGACGGGGACAACAUUCCGAAAGGAGUGCUAAUACCGGAUGUGAUCAUCGUGCCGCAUGGCAGGAUGAAGAAAGAUGGCCUCUACAAGUAAGCUAUCGCUAAAGGAUGGGCCUGCGUCUGAUUAGCUAGUUGGUAGUGUAACGGACUACCAAGGCGAUGAUCAGUAGCCGGUCUGAGAGGAUGAACGGCCACAUUGGGACUGAGACACGGCCCAAACUCCUACGGGAGGCAGCAGUGGGGAAUCUUCCGCAAUGGACGAAAGUCUGACGGAGCAACGCCGCGUGAGUGAUGAAGGAUUUCGGUCUGUAAAGCUCUGUUGUUUAUGACGAACGUGCAGUGUGUGAACAAUGCAUUGCAAUGACGGUAGUAAACGAGGAAGCCACGGCUAACUACGUGCCAGCAGCCGCGGUAAUACGUAGGUGGCGAGCGUUGUCCGGAAUUAUUGGGCGUAAAGAGCAUGUAGGCGGCUUAAUAAGUCGAGCGUGAAAAUGCGGGGCUCAACCCCGUAUGGCGCUGGAAACUGUUAGG